rnacentral:rRNA from 1 species
GAUGAACGCUGGCGGCGUGCCUAAUACAUGCAAGUCGAGCGAACAGACGAGGAGCUUGCUCCUUUGACGUUAGCGGCGGACGGGUGAGUAACACGUAGGUAACCUACCUAUAAGACUGGGAUAACUUCGGGAAACCGGAGCUAAUACCGGAUAAUAUUUCGAACCGCAUGGUUCGAUAGUGAAAGAUGGCUUUGCUGUCACUUAUAGAUGGACCUGCGCCGUAUUAGCUAGUUGGUAAGGUAACGGCUUACCAAGGCAACGAUACGUAGCCGACCUGAGAGGGUGAUCGGCCACACUGGAACUGAGACACGGUCCAGACUCCUACGGGAGGCAGCAGUAGGGAAUCUUCCGCAAUGGGCGAAAGCCUGACGGAGCAACGCCGCGUGAGUGAUGAAGGUCUUCGGAUCGUAAAACUCUGUUAUUAGGGAAGAACAAAUGUGUAAGUAACUGUGCACGUCUUGACGGUACCUAAUCAGAAAGCCACGGCUAACUACGUG